UUCCUUUUUUAAGAAGGACUUCUGUGCCAUUCUUUUCUCAAAGAAAAGUUGAACUCCAAGUCUUCCAGAGUCACGGCCAAAACCGAUUCCAAAGACCACUGUUAGCCAGAAGCAGCAGCUCUUCUUUGUUUUCAAGUUGUUUCACAAAGACAUGCAUGCAACUAGGACUACAGUUGAAAAUUAGCCCACUGGCUAACACUGGCGCAUUUACAGAAAUGUUGAUUAAUGUGCAUUGUCCUAAUAUAAAUAAACAUAUCUUCUUCUUGUAUCCCACAAACAUGAACCGAGAUCCUGAGUGGUGCAUCACACAGAUGAAGAGUAUAGUGCAAACGUUCCUCCAGGGCAAGCAGGUGGCAUCUCAGCUGGACAAGGUCAAAACUCUUCCAGAGUCAGAGCAAGCAACUAGAAUCAAGUGAGCAUUCUGAUUCGGAGGAUGAACUUCCACCCACUCCCCCAGAAAAACCAGCAGCAAAUAAAAUGACCAGCCGGAUCACCAGCCCCACUGCCCAGCGAGUCGCCAGUUCCACUGUCCAGCAGAUCGCCAGCCCCACUGCCCAGCGAGUCGCCAGUUCCACUGUCCAGCAGAUCGCCAGCCCCACUGCCCAGAGGUUUGCAAGCCCGAGUUGUGAAGCCAUGUUCUCUAAACUUCUUAAAAUUGUAGAAGAAAUUAAGGAGACCCAGAAGGUUCAUGGUAAGAUGCUAAAUGUCCUGCUGAAGAAGCAAGAUACAUCAGUGUAGGUUCCUGAUGGUGUGGUCUUCCCGCUACAAACUCAAGCAGAUGUUGAGGCGCUUGAGGAGCGACUGGGGGACCGCAGUCUAGUGUCUGCUGUUGUUGCCAUGGUUGCAGAUAUAGGGGGCACAAAUGUAGAUGAUGCAACGAGGCGAAUGAUGAAAUACGUACUGUCAAACGAGCUGGCAUUGGACUAUAAUAUGUUUGGCCGUCACGGGAAAAAGAAGUUUAAGGACUUGUGUCUUUUCAACGUUGUGUAUGAGGCUCUUAAGAAUAAUUCAUUGACAGCACAGGUGAACCAACAGGAGGCAGAGAGGGCACUGUCGAAAUGGUUCACUGGGGCAAGAGACAGAGGAGGACAAAGGGCAUCCAGACAGCCAGUGCCAAAUUAAACAGUACUGAGCAGUGGUGGAAUAUGAGUGAGUG